rnacentral:tRNA from 1 species
GCUCUAGUAGCUUAAAUGGAAAAGCCCUUCCCUUCUAAGGAAGUUAGUACAGGUUCGAAUCCUGUCUAGAGUA